GAUGAACGCUGGCGGCGUGCCUAAUACAUGCAAGUCGAGCGAACGGACGAGAAGCUUGCUUCUCUGAUGUUAGCGGCGGACGGGUGAGUAACACGUGGAUAACCUACCUAUAAGACUGGGAUAACUUCGGGAAACCGGAGCUAAUACCGGAUAAUAUUUUGAACCGCAUGGUUCAAUAGUGAAAGACGGUCUUGCUGUCACUUAUAGAUGGAUCCGCGCUGCAUUAGCUAGUUGGUAAGGUAACGGCUUACCAAGGCAACGAUGCAUAGCCGACCUGAGAGGGCGAUCGGCCACACUGGAACUGAGACACGGUCCAGACUCCUACGGGAGGCAGCAGUAGGGAAUCUUCCGCAAUGGGCGAAAGCCUGACGGAGCAACGCCGCGUGAGUGAUGAAGGUCUUCGGAUCGUAAAACUCUGUUAUUAGGGAAGAACAAAUGUGUAAGUAACUGUGCACAUCUUGACGGUACCUAAUCAGAAAGCCACGGCUAACUACGUG
rnacentral:rRNA from 1 species